UUUUCACUUCCCACUCCUUUCUUCACUCCCACACACUCUCCUCCUCCCCUCCCCACGAAAUAUUGCUCCCCCAAGGCUUCAUGGCCGGCCAUGGCCAUGGAAAGAGCUCCAAGAUGAAGUCCCCUCCUCCCUCAAGCUCCUCCUCACCAUGAGAGCCUCCCUCUCCUUCUUCUCCCCAACCCUAGAUGGUUUUCUCUCCUCUUCUUCUUCCUCCCUUGCUAAGAUUGGAUCUUGAUGCAGGUGCAUGUUGGUCCAAGCAUGGAGAAGCUUGAGCUAUCCUCAGAUCUGAAGUUCUUGAGCAAAAUCCAAAUCGAGUGAUUCAAAGUUCCACAGAUAGGUAUUCAACAGAUCUACAACCUGGCAUUGGUCUCAUCCUCAAAUUCGCUACAGAUUCUCCCUGGGGAUACUUAGUUGUGCCAUGGUGAUACCUAGAGAGGCAAUUGUUAAGUCGUGGCACUCUCAUACCUUUACUAGAUGCGAACAAUCUCGGAGGAGAAGAAGAAGAAGUGGAAUCGGACAAGGAUUUUAUUUGUACUGUGGGAAUUCUUAUUUGAUGGAGUUGAAGAAGUCCAGGGACAAAUAAGCCAAG